rfam:Listeria floridensis FSL S10-1187 c22, whole genome shotgun sequence.
AAAGAAUUUCCUCUGCACAAAUGAAAGAGACGAGGCAUUGUGUAGAGG